UAGGGAAUCUUCGGCAAUGGACGAAAGUCUGACCGAGCAACGCCGCGUGAGUGAAGAAGGUUUUCGGAUCGUAAAACUCUGUUGUUAGAGAAGAACAAGGACGUUAGUAACUGAACGUCCCCUGACGGUAUCUAACCAGAAAGCUACGGCUAACUACGUGCCAGCAGCCGCGGUAAUACGUAGGUGGCAAGCGCUGUCCGGAUUUAUUGGGCGUAAAGCGAGCGCAGGCGGUUUCUUAAGUCUGAUGUGAAAGCCCCCGGCUCAACCGGGGAGGGUCAUUGGAAACUGGGCGACUUGAGUGCAGGAAAGGAGAGUGGAAUUCCAUGUGUAGCGGUGAAAUACGUAGAUAUAUGGAGGAACACCAGUGGCGAAGGCGGCUCUCAGGUCUGUAACUGACGCUGGGGCUCGAAAGCGUGGGGAGCAAACAGG
rnacentral:rRNA from 1 species